rnacentral:rRNA from 1 species
CUGUACUUGGUGUUACUGCGAAGGGGGGACGGAGAAGGCUAUGUUAGCCGGGCGACGGUUGUCCCGGUUUAAGCAUGUAGGCGGAGGUUCCAGGUAAAUCCGGUACCUUAUUAACGCUGAGGUGUGAUGACGAGCCACUACGGUGCUGAAGUAACAAAUGCCCUGCUUCCAGGAAAAGCCUCUAAGCAUCAGGUAACAUCAAAUCGUACCCCAAACCGACACAGGUGGUCAGGUAGAGAAUACCA